rnacentral:rRNA from 1 species
UACCAGCUCUCCGAGUGGUAGGGAUGAUUAUUGGGCUUAAAGCGUCCGUAGCCAGCUUAGCAAGUCUCCUGUUAAAUUCAGCGACCUAAUCGUUGAGCCGCGGGAGAUACUACUAGGCUAGGAGGCGGGAGAGGUCAACGGUACCUUCCGGGGUAGGGGUGAAAUCCUAUAAUCCCGGGUGGACCACCAGUGGCGAAGGCUGUUGACUAGAACGCGCUCGACGGUGAGGGACGAAAGCUGGGGGAGCGAACCGGAUUAGAUACCCGGGUAGUCCCAGCUGUAAACGAUGCGAGCUAGGUGUUGGGGUGGCUACGUGCCACUUCAGUGCCGCAGGGAAGCCAAUUAGCUCGCCGCCUGGGGAGUACGGCCGCAAGGCUAGAAACUUAAAGGAAUUUGGGCGGGGGAGCGACCACAAGGCGUGAAGCUUGCGGUUC